rnacentral:rRNA from 1 species
GAGGAAAAGAAACUAACAAGGAUUCCCCUAGUAACUGCGAGUGAAGCGGGAUGAGCUCAAAUUUUGAAUCUGGCGGUCUUUGGCCGUCCGAGUUGUAAUCUAGAGAAGCGUCUUCCGCGCUGGACCGUGUACAAGUCUCCUGGAAGGGAGCGUCAUAGAGGGUGAGAAUCCCGUCUUUGACACGGACUACCAAGUGCUAUGUGAUGCGCUCUCGACGAGUCGAGUUGUUUGGGAAUGCAGCUCAAAUCGGGUGGUAAAUUCCAUCUAAAGCUAAAUACAGGCGAGAGACCGAUAGCGAACAAGUACCGUGAGGGAAAGAUGAAAAGAACUUUGGAAAGAGAGUUAAACAGUACGUGAAAUUGCUGAAAGGGAAACGCUUGAUGUCAGUCGCGUCGUCCGGGGAUCAACCUUGCUUCGCCGCUGGGUGUACUUCCCGGUAGACGGGUCAGCAUCGGUCUCGGUCGCCGUACAAUGGCGAGAGGAACGUGGCACCCUUCUCGGGUGUGUUAUAGCCUUUCGUCGUAUGCGGCGGUCGGGACCGAGGAACUCAGCACGACUUCRGUCUGUGCUUAGGAUGCUGGCAUAAUGGCCUUAAGCGACCCGUCU